CCUACGGGUGGCUGCAGUGGGGAAUAUUGGACAAUGGGGGGAACCCUGAUCCAGCCAUGCCGCGUGUGUGAAGAAGGCCCUCGGGUUGUAAAGCACUUUCAGUGAGGAAGAACGCCUGGUGGUUAAUACCCAUCAGGAAAGACAUCACUCACAGAAGAAGCACCGGCUAACUCCGUGCCAGCAGCCGCGGUAAUACGGAGGGUGCGAGCGUUAAUCGGAAUUACUGGGCGUAAAGCGCGCGUAGGUGGCUUGAUAAGCCGGUUGUGAAAGCCCCGGGCUCAACCUGGGAACGGCAUCCGGAACUGUCAAGCUAGAGUGCAGGAGAGGAAGGUAGAAUUCCCGGUGGAGCGGUGAAAUGCGUAGAGAUCGGGAGGAAUACCAGUGGCGAAGGCGGCCUUCUGGACUGACACUGACACUGAGGUGCGAAAGCGUGGGUAGCAAACAGGAUUAGAUACCCCGGUAGUC
rnacentral:rRNA from 1 species